rnacentral:rRNA from 1 species
CCAUGUUCAGCUGAGUUUGACCCGUGCGCACAGGUGAGGCCCUGCUUGUCUAGUACUCGAGUGGCGAACGGGUGAGUAACACGUGGGUGAUCUGCCUUGUACUUCGGGAUAAGCUUGGGAAACUGGGUCUAAUACCGGAUAGGACCACUGUUUGGUGAUGGUGGUGGAAAGCUUUUGCGGUAUGAGAUGAGCUCGCGGCCUAUCAGCUUGUUGGUGGGGUAAUGGCCUACCAAGGCGUCGACGGGUAGCCGGCCUGAGAGGGUGUACGGCCACAUUGGGACUGAGAUACGGCCCAGACUCCUACGGGAGGCAGCAGUGGGGAAUAUUGCACAAUGGGCGGAAGCCUGAUGCAGCGACGCCGCGUGGGGGAUGACGGCCUUCGGGUUGUAAACUCCUUUCGAUAGGGACGAAGCGUAAGUGACGGUACCUGUAGAAGAAGCACCGGCUAACUACGUGCCAGCAGCCGCGGUAAUACGUAGGGUGCGAGCGUUGUCCGGAAUUACUGGGCGUAAAGAGCUCGUAGGUGGUUUGUCGCGUCGUCUGUGGAAGUCCGGGGCUUAACUCCGGGGGUGCAGGCGAUACGGGCAUAACUUGAGUGCUGUAGGGGAGACUGGAAUUCCUGGUGUAGCGGUGGAAUGCGCAGAUAUCAGGAGGAACACCGAUGGCGAAGGCAGGUCUCUGGGCAGUUACUGACGCUGAGGAGCGAAAGCAUGGGUAGCGAACAGGAUUAGAUACCCUGGUAGUCCAUGCUGUAAACGGUGGGCGCUAGGUGUAGGGGACUUCCACGUUUCCUGUGCCGUAGCUAACGCAUUAAGCGCCCCGCCUGGGGAGUACGGCCGCAGGCUAAACUCAAAGGAAUGACGGGGGCCCGCCACAAGCGGCGGGAGCAUGUGGAUAUCGAUGCAACGCGAAGAACUACUGGGCUGAAAUAACACCAAGAUCGGGCUAAGAGAAUAGUCUUUCCCUUGGGUGGGUGUACAGGUGGGUGCAUGAUUGUCGUCAGCCUCGUGUCUGAAUGUGGUAGUCCGCAACGAGGCACUUGUCUAUGUGCAGACGUGAUGGUGGGACUCAGAAACUGCGGUACUCAGAUGAUACUCAAUACUAAUGCUUAGUCAGGUUCACACUGGCUACAUGUCGUACACCGCGGUCUCACUG